rnacentral:sRNA from 1 species
UCGUAAGCACCUGAAUUGAUGCGAA